rnacentral:rRNA from 1 species
UACGUAGGUGGCGAGCGUUACUCGGAAUCACUAGGCGUAAAGCGCAGGUAGGAGGUUUAGUAAGUCUGUUGUGAAAGCUCCCGGCUUAACUGGGAGAGGUCAACGGAAACUGCUAGGCUAGAGUGCGGUAGAGGAAGGUGGAAUUCCCGGUGUAGCGGUGAAAUGCGUAGAUAUCGGGAGGAAUACCUAUGGCGAAAGCAGCCUUCUGGACCGUCACUGACUCUGAUCUGCGAAAGCUAGGGGAGCAAACAGG